CGUGAUACCAACAAAAAGUUCUUUUCUUGCCUUCUCCCUAUUCAUCUCAACUCCUAGCUUUCUUCAUCUUUUAACAUUAAUUCUAACAUCUAUUGUAGGAGUAAUGUAGGAGUACGACAAAACCGCUCUGGGCAGUAGGUCGAUGUUUGUUUCACGGCUGGUUGAUUUGAGUUCCGGUGUUCAAAAGAAUCAGGAAUAUACUUUAACGAAGAUAAUAUAUAAACCUGCACUUGCUCUACAAUUAAUCAGCCGAGUUGUUGUCAGUGGAUGUACUCUGAAGAGAUCAAGAGUUGAAUAUGGAAGAUAAAAUGGGUCUUGGCAGAUGCAAAAGGUCUAUCAUCUUCGGUCAACCAUUUCAAGAUGAACCCCAGGCUGAUUCCCAGGUUGAUCGCGACAAAUCCGAAACCAGAAAAGAACAGAAAUGGUGCACCUUCGAAAACGACACCAAGUAUACAGUGAUGAUUACUGAUAAGGAUGGGACCCGACCCUUGAAACCUGGAAAAUCAACAACGAACGUCGGCAUCCCUGGCUUUGAGAUGAUUCUUGUCCUGAAGCUACCGAAGAAAGACGCGAAAUUAGAAUUUCCCUUGAGUGGAUUUAAUAACUCCAGGCAGAAAAUUAGUCAGAUCUUUGCACAUGAAAUUAAUCAGAAUUAACUCAAGCAGUGGUGAACUGUGGUCAGUGCGUGUAAAAAAAUAUUGCCAUGACUUCUUCAACUCAUGAAUCAAUAAAAGCAGAGUUUCUCAAUGGCAAAUAAUGCCAGAAUGGAA